AAGAAUUUGUCACUUGAUCCAGAACCUGUUUCAAACUGGGGCUAUUGACUAUUCCAUAUUUCACAAAUGUGAUAUUUGGAUUACAUACAUCAGAAUCCUGUUUGGUACUUGUUGAAUUCAGAUUUCUAGACUCCCAAAUAAACAUGCUGAUUCUGAGUUUGGGUAAAGGAGCUUAUCAGCAUGCAUUUUGGUAAGCUUUUUUUUAGGACUUUAUGUGUACUUGCAAUGUAUGCAACCACUGAAAUAAUACAAUGACAACAAAAUGGGCUACUAGAGUUAUGUGUCAUUGUAAUUCAUAUAAGUGAAGUGAUGAAGUACAUAAACAAUUGAGUUUUCUUUAGAAUGCUGAUAAAAUUAUUUUUUCUUUUAAUAAAAUUUCAUUUUUAAUAAAUAAUUAUAGUGCU
rnacentral:lncRNA from 12 species